ensembl:lncRNA
CAUAGGACAGUAAUGAUUAGAGGCAGUGUGUCAAGGAAGAACAGCAGCCUGGAUAAGUAACUACUGACUUCAAUUAGUUCUACAAUAUGUCUGGAACUCUCUGACUGCUCAGUGUAGCAGCCAGUCACAGCAGGGAAGUCUCUGCUCCAGGCUAACAUCCAGUAUCAUAAAACAGAGUUGAAUGAUUGAGAUGGAGGAGACACACUCAAACAGAACAUCCUCAAACAGUGGAUCAUUCCAUACCGAGACAGAGUUUCAAUGAGUUAGUGACUUAGCAUCAACACAAAAAAAAGAGAGAAUAUGGUAAGCCUGGUUUGAGGCAAAGUGUCACAUUUUGUGAAGCAAUAAAAGAGAUGACAGGGAGGUCCUCUGUAUGACUUAUCAAAAAGUUAAAGUAACUGUUCACUGGGAAGUUGAGGCAUGCAUAACAGGCUCUUCGAAAAGCACCAAGCUCCUAAAAUAAGUGACCCCACUCUGCAGACAGCCCUGGUCUUGAUGAGGAGAGGAGCUGCAAGUAGGGAGCCACAACGAAUUAACAUCCCACCCAAUAAACAGUAAGCAUGCAGGCCAAUGCUAUGUAGGCAGUCAACACCUCCAAAUCAGCAACAUGAUUUACAUCAAAAACAAAGGAAGUCCUUUUGAGAUUAUACUGACAACAACAAAAAGACACCAUACAUGUCCAGACAUUUUGGAACUCAUAGCUGGGAGAAAUAAAUUUGAGGUUGAGAAUGCCUUCAAAGCUAUUAUAGAUUGAUUGAACCUCUUGAAUUUUGUUUGGAAAUUUGUUCUGACAUAAUGCUGCAAGACAUUAUUAGUGUGAGCCAUCUAGGUUAUACUAUGUUAAAUGUUAAAGACAAACAGACCUUGCAACAUUCUGGAGUUUCAAGUGAGCGGAAGAGAAGCAUUUUUCCCUGAACCGGUCCUGGUCCUCAGUCUCAGUGCCAAGGACAGGUCAGUGCUAAGCAGAAAAAAACAGCCUGUUGACCAGCAACUGGCAGGCCUGGCACCAAUCAUGGCACUUCACAGCUUCACAUCCUCUAAUGACUGUAAAAAAACGCCCUGUCACAUUACGCAUAUCACCCUGGCGCCUUUCUCAAUUGUGUUCUCCUCUUAUGAACAGGAGUGAAAGAUCGGGGUGAGGAGAAAGUGAGCAUUAGCAUUUGAGACAGGAUGGUGUCACAGCCUGCAAGUAGUCACUCCCAGACGUCAGUGCAUCUUCAAUGGAUUAGUACAUCUAGUGAAGAGACCUUGGAGAAACAUGUGUUGUGUUGUUCAGUGUCUGUUAGCCAAAAAUGUACAUGUCCAAACAAAGAAUUCACUGGUUAGCUUUAAGGUAAUCUGAAAUGUAAUCUGUAUUUAGCUACAGAUAAAAAAAAAAAAAUGCAUUUAGUAUUUUGAAAGCUUCAUUGAUGAUUGAAAGUAACACAGUUCUAUAGGUCACAGUUAUAUAGGUGUUUGAGGUCACUGUCAUUUUCUGUUGGUGCAUGGACAAGUCUUGAGUCCAGCAUUGCAUUUUUUAAGUCUAUUUCUGCUUGUCAUACAUUAAAAAGAUGAAAGUACUGGUGAGGUCGGCUAUUACUAACAACCUGGUAGACUGUGUGUGACCUAUACAGUGGACGACCAAAGAAUGCUCACCAUAGUGUAAAACAGAUGAACAAAACUCUACAGAAGGCAAGGCCUGGAUCUGUCAGCUACAACCAUCUGCAGAGAUCAACUAAACUACAGAGGCAGGACUACAAGAUGAAAGUGCACAGAUACAACUUGUCAGACCCAACAAAAUGAUCCAGAUCCAACAAUAUGCCUCAAAUGGAGAUAAACCGACACCAAUGCUUUC